GAAGAAGCAUUGUCACGAGUUCAAGGAUACAUCCCAGCCAAGCCAAACAACUCAAGGGUGGUGUAAAACCAUAUCACAUCUUUUCUAUAGGAUCAAGCUGAAACUAAAUAGAUGCAAUUGGAAGCCCCCAGACCUGGAGCCCAAAGUAAUGUGAUGCAGCAGAGACUGCUGCAAAACAAAAACAAAACAGCAAGUGAGUUAACUUCUGUCUGUCACUUUGUACUGCCUAGAUGACCUUAUCCAAGUUAUAACACCAUCACUCUCUGCAGAUCCUCACUCUCUUGCCAGCUACAGCCAAGGAUGUAAAGUGGUGACAG